rnacentral:rRNA from 1 species
GGCCUAACACAUGCAAGUCGAGCGAAGACUUCGGUCUUAGCGGCGGACGGGUGAGUAACGCGUGGGAACGUGCCUUUUGCUACGGAAUAGCCCCGGGAAACUGGGAGUAAUACCGUAUACGCCCUUUGGGGGAAAGAUUUAUCGGCAAGAGAUCGGCCCGCGUUGGAUUAGGUAGUUGGUGGGGUAAUGGCCUACCAAGCCGACGAUCCAUAGCUGGUUUGAGAGGAUGAUCAGCCACACUGGGACUGAGACACGGCCCAGACUCCUACGGGAGGCAGCAGUGGGGAAUCUUAGACAAUGGGGGCAACCCUGAUCUAGCCAUGCCGCGUGUGUGAUGAAGGCCUUAGGGUCGUAAAGCACUUUCGCCAGGGAUGAUAAUGACAGUACCUGGUAAAGAAACCCCGGCUAACUCCGUGCCAGCAGCCGCGGUAAUACGGAGGGGGUUAGCGUUGUUCGGAAUUACUGGGCGUAAAGCGCGCGUAGGCGGACCAGUCAGUCAGAGGUGAAAUCCCGGGGCUCAACCCCGGAACUGCCUUUGAUACUGCUGGUCUUGAGGUCGAGAGAGGUGAGUGGAAUUCCGAGUGUAGAGGUGAAAUUCGUAGAUAUUCGGAGGAACACCAGUGGCGAAGGCGGCUCACUGGCUCGAUACUGACGCUGAGGUGCGAAAGCGUGGGAGCAAACAGGAUUAGAUACCCUGUAGUC